AUUUUUCCCUGAGUUCCACAGAGAUGUGGUGAACGGAGAGCCUAGAUCUCAGCGGCUUGUGUUGGCCGCAGUGAAGAGAGGCAGGCAGAGAGGAAGGAGUGUGCAUAUGUUCUCCUUCAUAUCCAGAGGAGUUGCCUUAGUGGACCAGUUUUCUGGGGACCUGCUGAGGUAGGAUUGUCAACAUGGGGUGGAGAGGAGGAGAUUAGACCCACUGUUUGCUUAAAUAGAUAUAGUUCCAAUUCACAUUUCAUCCAACCCACAGGGAAGGGUAUCUGAAUUAAGAGUGUGAUUGGAAAUAAGUUGCCUUCCUAAGGAUAUGGUCUUCAAGAAUGACAAUGUCUAAAAUUUCUGAA
rnacentral:lncRNA from 1 species